UACGGGGGGGGCAAGCGUUGUUCGGAAUUACUGGGCGUAAAGGGCGCGUAGGCGGUCUACUAAGUUGGAUGUGAAAACUCUGGGCUUAACUCAGAGCCUGCAUUCAAAACUGAUAGGCUGGAGUUCUGGAGGGGAUAGCGGAAUUCCUGGUGUAGCGGUGAAAUGCGUAGAUAUCAGGAGGAACACCGGUGGCGAAGGCGGCUAUCUGGACAGAAACUGACGCUGAGGCGCGAAAGCUAGGGGAGCAAACAGG
rnacentral:rRNA from 1 species